CCUACGGGUGGCAGCAGUGGGGAAUAUUGCACAAUGGGCGCAAGCCUGAUGCAGCCAUGCCGCGUGUAUGGAGAAGGCCCUAGGGUUGUAAGGUACUUUCAGUCGGGAGGAAGGCGUUGAUGCUAAUAUCAUCAACGAUUGACGUUACCGACAGAAGAAGCACCGGCUAACUCCGUGCCAGCAGCCGCGGUAAUACGGAGGGUGCAAGCGUUAAUCGGAAUUACUGGGCGUAAAGCGCACGUAGGCGGUUGAUUAAGUUAGAUGUGAAAUCCCCGGGCUUAACCUGGGAAUGGCAUCUAAGACUGGUCAGCUAGAGUCUUGUAGAGGGGGGUAGAAUUCCAUGUGUAGCGGUGAAAUGCGUAGAGAUGUGGAGGAAUACCAGUGGCGAAGGCGGCCCCCUGGACAAAGACUGACGCUCAGGUGCGAAAGCGUGGGGAGCAAACAGGAUUAGAUACCCGCGUAGU
rnacentral:rRNA from 1 species